AUCACUUUUUGGCCUUUUGGCUAAGAACAAAUGUAGUAUCUGUUCUUAUCAGUUUAUGUCUCUAUGUCCUCUACCCAAGGACAAUAAAUUAAAUGAAUUUUUGGAGCAGGAGAUGGAAUAGGAGCUUGUUCUGUCCACUCCACACAUUGACCUGGUAUUGUAGUAGCUCCAGGAAUGGUGUACCCCUC
rnacentral:snRNA from 1 species